rnacentral:rRNA from 1 species
UGCCAGCCGCCGCGGUAAUACGGAGGGUGCGAGCGUUAAUCGGAAUUACUGGGCGUAAAGCGCACGCAGGCGGAUUGUUAAGCUAGAGGUGAAAGCCCCGCGCUCAACGUGGGAAUUGCCUUUAGAACUGGCAGUCUAGAGUCUUGGAGAGGGGAGUGGAAUUCCAGGUGUAGCGGUGAAAUGCGUAGAGAUCUGGAGGAACAUCAGUGGCGAAGGCGACUCCCUGGCCAAAGACUGACGCUCAUGUGCGAAAGUGUGGGUAGCGAACAGGAUUAGAUA